GCUAGGACUGGUGGCUCAGGCCUGUAAUCCCAGUGGCUCGGGAGGCUGAGGCAGGAGGAUCGCCAGGUCAAAGCCAGCCUCAGCAACAGUGAGGUGCUAAGUAACAGAAUGAGACCCUGUCUCUA
rnacentral:sRNA from 1 species